GGAAGGAUUGUAGCUAAGUGGUUAGUGCAUCUGCUUUGUAUGCAGGAGGCCACAGAAUCAAUCACUGGCAUCUCCA